UCCCUGGUGGUCCAGUGGUUAGGACUCGGCGCUUUCACUGCCACAACCCUAGCUCAAUCCCUGGUUGGGGAA
rnacentral:tRNA from 1 species